rnacentral:rRNA from 1 species
AUUGAACGCUGGCGGCAGGCCUAACACAUGCAAGUCGAGCGGAUGACGGGAGCUUGCUCCUUGAUUCAGCGGCGGACGGGUGAGUAAUGCCUAUGAAUCUGCCUGGUCGUGGGGGACCACGUUUCGAAAGGAACGCUAAUACCGCAUACGUCCUACGGGAGAAAGCAGGGGACCUUCGGGCCUUGCGCUAUCAGAUGAGCCUAGGUCGGAUUAGCUUGUUGGUGAGGUAAUGGCUCACCAAGGCGACGAUCCGUCACUGGUCUGAGAGGAUGAUCAGUCACACUGGAACUGAGACACGGUCCAGACUCCUACGGGAGGCAGCAGUGGGGAAUAUUGGACAAUGGGCGAAAGCCUGAUCCAGCCAUGCCGCGUGUGUGAAGAAGGUCUUAGGAUUGUAAAGCACUUUAAGUUGGGAGGAAGGGUUGUAGAUUAAUACGCUGCAAUUUUGACGUUACCGACAGAAUAAGCACCGGCUAACUCUGUG